AACGAACGCUGGCGGCGUGGAUCAGGCAUGCAUGUCGAACGGUUCCGCAAGGAACAGUGGCAAACGGAUGAGUAAUACAUAGAUAACCUACCCCUAACUUGGGGAUAGCAUUGUGAAAACGAUGGUAAUACCGAAUGUGAUGCGUCGGUGCUUCCGAUGUAUCAAAGGUGGCCGAAAGGCUGCCGGUAAGGGAGGGGUCUAUGGCCUAUUAGCUAGUUGGUAGGGUAAUGGCCUACCAAGGCAAAGAUGGGUACCCGGGCUGAGAGGCUGGUCGGGCAUAUUGGGACUGAGAAACUGCCCAGACUCCUACGGGAGGCUGCAGUCGAGGAUCUUUCGCAAUGGGGGAAACCCUGACGACGCGACGCCGUGUGGACGAUGAAGGCCUUCGGGUUGUAAAGUCCUGUCACUGGGGAGGAAAGGUAUCGGUAUUAAUACCAUCGAUACUAGACAUUACCCGGAGAGGAAGUACCGGCUAACUCCGUGCCAGCAGCCGCGGUAAUACGGAGGGUGCAAGCGUUGUUCGGAAUCACUGGGCGUAAAGGGUGCGUAGGCGGAUUGUUAAGUGAAAUGUGAAGGCCUGAGGCUCAACCUCAGAACUGCAUUUCAAACUGGCUUUCUCGAGUAUAGAAGAGGUAAGUGGAAUUCUCAGUGUAGCGGUGAAAUGCGUAGAUAUUGAGAGGAACACCAGCGGUGAAAACGGCUUACUAUUUUGUUACUGACGCUGAGGCACGAAGGCUAGGGGAGCAAACAGGAUUAGAUACCCUGGUAGUCCUAGCAGUAAACGAUGUCAACUUGGUGUGGGGAAUUUCGACCUUCUCCGUGCCGGAGCUAACGUGUUAAGUUGACCGCCUGGGGAGUACGGCCGCAAGGCUAAAACUCAAAGAAAUUGACGGGGGCCCGCACAAGCGGUGGAGCAUGUGGUUUAAUUCGACGCAACGCGAAGAACCUUACCAGGGCUUGACAUGUAGGUGACCGAGUAUGAAAGUACUCUUCCCGCAAGGGCACUUACACAGGUGUUGCAUGGCUGUCGUCAGCUCGUGUCGUGAGAUGUUGGGUUAAGUCCCGCAACGAGCGCAACCCCUGUUUCCAGUUACCAGCGGGUCAUGCCGGGGACUCUGGAGAGACUGCCGGUGAUAAAUCGGAGGAAGGUGGGGAUGACGUCAAGUCAGUAUGGCCCUUAUGUCCUGGGCUACACACGUGCUACAAUGAUCGGUACAGAGGGAUGCAAGACCGCGAGGUGGAGCAAAUCCUGGAAAACCGGUCCCAGUUCAGAUUGCAGUCUGCAACUCGACUGCAUGAAGUUGGAAUCGCUAGUAAUGGCGGAUCAGCUACGCCGCCGUGAAUACGUUCCCGGGCCUUGUACACACCGCCCGUCACAUCAUGAAAGAUGAUCUUACCCGAAGUCGUUAUACCAACCGUAAGGAGGAAGGCGCCUAAGGUAGGGUCGUUAAUUGGGAUGAUGUCGGAACAAGGCA
rnacentral:rRNA from 1 species